GAUGAAGAACGUAGCGAAAUGCGAUAAGUAAUGUGAAUUGCAGAAUUCAGUGAAUCAUCGAAUCUUUGAACGCACAUUGCGCCCGCGAGUAUUCUCGCGGGCAUGCCUGUCCGAGCGUCAUUUCAACCCUCAGGGCCCGCCUGCUUGCAGGCGCGGCGCUGGUGUUGGGGAUCGGCUACCCUGCCGUCCCCCAAAUACAGUGGCGGUCUCGCUGCAGCCUCCCCUGCGUAGUAGCAACACUCGCAUGCGGAGCGCGGCGCGGCCACGCCGUAAAACCCCCGACUUUCUGAACGUUAACCUCGGAUCAGGUAGGAAUACCCGCUGAACUUAAGCAUAUCAAUAAGCGGAGGA
rnacentral:misc_RNA from 1 species